AACGCACGAGACCUGCGGACCUGCGGAGGGAUCAUUACCAAACAAAAAAGCUCAGGUCUGGGUAACCAGCCAGAGUGCAAACCCUCUGUGAAACAGAAAAUACCUUUCGCUUCCGUGGUAGGUUGGGCGUCCUUAACCGGUCCCCAGCUGUAAUCCCACGGGCAGCAAAGCAAAACUAGAAUUACCAAACCUGAUCUGAACAAUCGUUAAAAACGAAUGAAAAUUAAAACUUUCAACAAU
rnacentral:misc_RNA from 1 species